UACGAGGGGUGCAAGCGUUGCUCGGAAUUAUUGGGCGUAAAGGGUAGGUAGGUGGUCUCAUUUGUCUGAGGUGAAAUCCUUGAGCUUAACUCAAGAAGGGCCUCAGAAACGGUGAGACUGGAGUACUGGAGAGGGUCGUGGAAUUCCCGGUGUAGCGGUGAAAUGCGUAGAGAUCGGGAGGAACACCAGAGGCGAAAGCGGCGACCUGGACAGUUACUGACACUCAACUACGAAAGCGUGGGGAGCAAACAGG
rnacentral:rRNA from 1 species